CAAAUUCCCCAUUGAAUGGUUUAGUGAGGCCUUCUGACUGGCGCCGCUACUCUGGCAACAGAGCGGCGGAUGCCGGGAAGUUGGUCAAACUUGAUCAUUUAGAGGAAGUAAAAGUCGUAACAAGGUUUCCGUAGGUGAACCUGCGGAAGGAUCAUUACCGAUGUGAAAAAUCCAAGGUUAAACAUCAUUAACCAGUGUGAACUGUGAAACAACUCUUUAGGGGUCGGCACAGGCGUGUGUCGUUAAAUGGCGGAUAGGUUCCUUCCGCCAGCCCCGCCAUUGUGUUUAUGAUAUCACUUUGAACGUUAAAGACUGAGAACGUAUGUAUCAUGCAUUAAAUGUAUGAGAAAGAAGGAAAGAAAAAUGAGAGACAACUUUUGACGGUGGAUCUCUUGGCUCACGUAUCGAUGAAGAACGCAGCCAGCUGCGAUAUGUAGUGUGAAUUGCAGAAUUCAGUGAAUCAUUGAAUCUUUGAACGCAAAUGGCGCUCUUGGGUUCUCCCAGGAGCAUGUCUGUCUGAGUGUCGGAUUUUAUCGAACGCACUCGUGAGUGCGGUAUUGAGGUGUCACGGCGUGUUAGCAAGCAAGCUUUAAAUCGCCGUGUCCCUUGAAGGACAGCAGCAUUGGACUCGCAUUCUCUAUUGAAACUUGAGUGCGAAGGCUAAAGAUAAUAUUUUCCUUCGCCCAAACAUGCAAUAGCAGAAACAAAGUCCAAUCAAAGCGGUGACAGACAAUAAACAUCAAAUCUUGACCUCAGAUCAGGCAAGGCUACCCGCUGAAUUUAAGCAUAUUAAUAAGCGGAGGAAAAAGAAACUAACAAGGAUUCCCUCAGUAACGGCGAGUGAAGCGGGAAUAGCUCAAAUUUGAAAUCUCCGACGCUUGCGUCGGCGAAUUGUAGUUGCGAGAAGCACUUUCUAGGCGGAUCGGGUCGUGCCUAAGUUUGCUUGCAACAGUACGUCAUAGAGGGUGACAACCCCGGUCUGUGGCUCGGCCGGUCGCUCACGAUGUGCUUUCGAAGAAGUCUGCUUGCUUGGGACUGCCGACCCAAAGCCAGCCUGACUCAUCGCAAGCACAUCGGUGAGGCGGCCGGCCGAGCCACAGAACGUGGGUUGUCACCCCCCCUAUACGUACUGUUUGCCAAGUCUAACUAUGAACGAUCGAUUCCUGCCUAGGAAAGGUCCUCCUGCAACCUUACAGAUUGGCCCCGGAGGGCAGGGGGGAUAGGAGGAUAAUU
rnacentral:rRNA from 1 species